rnacentral:rRNA from 2 species
GAAAAUAACUAUGAUUCCCUUAGUAACGGCGAGUGAACAGGGAAAAGCCCAAAUUUGUAAUCUGGCACUUUUUACAAGUGUCCGAGUUGUAAUUUGUAGAACUGUUAUCCGCGCUGGACCAUGUACAAGUCUGUUGAAAAGCAGCAUCAUUGAAGGUGAAAAUCCUGUAGAUGAUAUGGACUACCAGUGCAUUUGUGAUACGGUUUCUAAGAGUCGAGUUGUUUGGGAAUGCAGCUCAAAGUGGGUGGUAAAUUCCAUCUAAGGCUAAAUAUAAGUGAGAGACCGAUAGCAAACAAGUACCGUGAGGGAAAGAUGAAAAGAACUUUGAAAAUAGAGUUAACAGUACGUGAAAUUGCUGAAAGGGAAACGUUUGAAGUUAGUUUUGUAUUCGUUGGAUCAGCUUCGCAAGGAGUGUAUUCUGAUGAUAAGCAAGUCAACAUCAAUCUAUGAGUGUCGGAGAAGGGUUUUGAGAAUGUAGCAAUUUUUAUUAAUUGUGUUAUAGCUUGAGACUUGGAUACGAUGCUUUGGAUUGAGGAACGCGUAGUAAGCUUUGAGCGGAUUCGAAAGGAUCUCCUUACUAUGGAUGUUGGUGAAAUAACUUUAAGCGACC